UUUGACCAUCAAAAACCUAACCUAACCUAAUUUGCCUUGAUUCUUCAUCCAAUCUCCAUGCUUUGUGAGAUCUUUCUCUUGGUUGCUUCCAUUGCAAGUAAUGCAUUUUUGUAUACCAUGUCACUUUGGCAUUUUGGAACCAUUGACCCUUAGCUUUGGUUGGUCCCUAACAGAUUCCCAAAGAGUUCCCUAAUAACACGAGUUUGUCUCUUGCCCAUCACUCUUGGCUUGAACCUAAAACAAU
rnacentral:lncRNA from 1 species